CUCACACCACGCAUUCACCUUCCAUCGGAUUAAAAAGCACUUUUGGCUCGCAACCUCUUCUGCCUGGUCGCUUUCUCUAGGCCUCUACAACGUGAAGUAAGCAUUACGGGGCUCAAGCUUUCGAUGCCGUAACGGACGAACUGCUGAUACAGCUCCUUGCCUUUGAAAUGGAAGCACAGUAAGCGUGUGCCAACACGCAUACAUAUGAGGCGAGAGCUGGAGCCAUGGUUUUGCUCACCUUUCUACUCUAGCAGUUCAGAUAAUUCUUCGGUACACCAGGACCUGCGAAUACGUGCUUCUUCCCAGCGGUGCACCUUCUGCUGUUGAUAUUUAUGGAGGUGUCUGCUGGUCAGAAAGCAGUGGCUCUGUGUUGAAGGUGUCCUGGUCAGUAUUAUGUUCUGCUUCCUGUCAGCACUGCUAAUAGAGAAGACAGAUGGAGUCAUCAUGAAGUUGAAGCCGGGAGAGGCCCAUGUGUAUGCUACCAUCAUCCAUCACACAACAGAUGACGUGCAAGCUUCUGCAUCAUUCUGUGUUUUGACCGAAGGGUUCAUGGUCGGGCAUCCAGCAUGCUACCUUCUUUACCGUUAACGUUGUGUACAGUCCUAGAGCUUAACUAAUUAACUGUUACGUUAAGGUGGAAUCACAGAAAUUUGGAGCAUAUACAGAUUGACUCUGUGCACAAAUUCCAUAAUGUACAUUGAUUAAGUACUACUAGGUGCCAUAACUAGUUCCUGUGCUUCAUUGAUUUUCAUGUAACCCUCCAUUGUCGACGGGGUUGCUUUGGAAAGCCCACCCUUAUUCUGUUUUUGCGUGCUACAGCUGAGUGACAAUCGCCUGUGAGAUUGCAAGGACACAGCACAUGUUCUUGUUAUCAGGGGGGCAAACUGGGAAUUAAUCAGGAAUAGCAGUAAAAUGUUACUCGAAUGUAUGAAACAGGAUACGAAAACAUUUUCAAGACAGCGCGUAAGUGUUACUAGCAGACUUCUUAGACAGUAACAAUGGCAGCAUCAACGGAAAAUAUGCAAGUGUUACUUGAAUUCUGUGGCAGCAUCACCAGCCUGCACAUCAGUAAGAUGUUCGUGCUGUUGCCAGAAACCUUUUUGCAUUCUAUUUUGUGCAUUUUUUAGGCAACUUUUCAUAUCGAAUCACAUCCGAAUUGUUCUCUCAGGUUCUCUCAGUUCGGAAAUCCACAGGUACCAUUUCCGUAUCUGCAGUAUAGGAAAUAUCAGGCUGGUGGGUUUUUGAAGGCACCACCGUGUCGAUGACAUUUGGUCUCACCGCAAAUGAACAAAGAACAAGACCAAAAACAUUCAUGCUGGCCAAAAAUUAAAUAAUUCAGCUGUUCAAUCUAACUGGAUGAAACUGGUUUCAAGAAGUAUAGGACAGUCAAUAGCCACUACGCUCAGCAAGUGCUAGUUCUUAAUCGAUAUGGAUCAUCAGAUGUGUGCAGGGCUGUGAACAACAUCAAAGUUGAGCAGGCCGUUAAGGUGUUUCAA